rnacentral:rRNA from 1 species
UACGUACCGUCCAAACGUUAUUCGGAAUCACUGGGCUUAAAGAGUUCGUAGGCGGCCCAGAAAGUUGGGUGUGAAAUCCCCCGGCCCAACCGGGGAAUGGCGCUCAAAACUACUGGGCUUGAGGAAGAUAGAGGUGAGCGGAACUGAUGGUGGAGCGGUGAAAUGCGUUGAUAUCAUCAGGAACACCGGAGGCGAAGGCGGCUCACUGGGUCUUACCUGACGCUGAGGAACGAAAGCUAGGGGAGCGAACGGG